rnacentral:lncRNA from 1 species
CUCCAGCCAGCUCAACUGCAGGAGAGGAAAGCCCCAUCUAAGUUCACUAGCCCUGCCACAGUCUUCCACUGCCUGAUGGGUUCCUUCAGGAAAACACUUCCAGAGGCAUUCAUCCACUUGAGGUCUGGGGUUGGCUGCUGCUGCGAGGCUGCUGCAGCCGAGGCUCCCGCGAGCAGCUGCUAGGAUCCUUGCCGUCUCGUUCCUGCCUCUUUCGAGCUGCACAAUAGCCCCGGCUGGGUGCACCUCAUUAAGCCAGCCGAGAGCCCCAGGAGCAGGGCAAGCCGUGUGACAGCGCUACCUCUUUGUAAUGACUGUAUGAUGGAUGCAACCGAAGGGUGGGGUCUGGGUGGGUCAACACUGUUAAUGACAGUAUGUAUCAUUCUGUCCGUCCUCCAGGAGAGGGGAGGGAAGCCCCCUGCCCUCCCCUCAGGUCUUGGGCUCGCUUUCUCUCUCUCUCUCUCUCUCUCGCUCUCUCUCUCUCUCUCUCUCUCUCUCUCUCCCUCUCUUCCUCUCCCUCUCUCUCCUAUCUCUCGUCUCUGUCCCCUGUCACUCGCGCGCACACACACACACACGCACACACACUUUCCUCCCUCUUCCCCCACCUCCCUAUGCCAUUUUCUGCAGUCAGCGUUCAAAAAAAGUACGAAAACCAUCGGGUAAUUUCCAACUGAACCGAUUACGGACGGCGAAUUUAUCCAAACACUUAAGCAAGGAGAGGAUCCUAAAAUCGAAAAACGAAGGCGGAAGGGGCGAGAAGAACGGGGUGGAGUUGGGUGGCGGAGCGAGUGGGACGUUAACUGGCCAAUAGUUUGCAACUGCCGGUCAACACGCGCAGCCUACUCAGCGCUGCUCCGGAGGCGCGGGACGCCGCCUCCACGUGAGCCGCGCUCCUCCCAGUGCCCGGGACGGUGUCGGGGGCGGGCUGCACGGCGAGAAGGGCAAAAUAAAACCAGCCCGAGAGGCCCUGGCUGGGGUUGAGACUGCAGGAGUAACUUCUGCACCGAGGCAGCGCGCAGCCAGUCGGGGAAGAACUCUGCAACCUGACCGAAAGAAAGUCCGACCCUCUCGGGAGGGCUGCCAGGAUGCUGGAGCGAGUGUCAGGGUCCGAGACUCCCAAGUCGGGCGAGGGCUCCUGCCCCUGGCCAUUGGGUACCCCCCUCCGACCAACACCCCCGUCCCGCUUCAGAGCGUCGGCCCCACAGACCUAGAUGGGCAAGAUACCAAAUACUUUUCUUGGAAUACAUCAUCUUGAUUGAAAACUACUAGGAUAUUUUUGAAAAAAUAGCUCAUUAGCUGGCUGGAAAUGUGCUCUCCUGAAGAAAAAUCAGAAAUACAUUGAUAGGGGUCAAAGAUUUCUACCCUGUUGGAAGAAGCCACUGUUGAAGUGUGAAAGGCUACUCUGCUUUCUGCGUCCAUUUAACCUUUGGCCUGCCCUAAAGAGCCAGCCAAGUGUCAAUCAGGGCUGAUUGGGCACCUGUGCCUGGAAACAAGACAGAGAAAUUUAGCUCUUCCAGGUCAUCAAACCAUCUCCAGAUGGCAAAGAACUUCUGAAGUUAUGAACCUAACUUGCUUGUGAUGCAAAUUAGUGACCUAGGGUGAGAUGCUUCAUUAAUGCUUACUCCUGUGAGCCUCCAAGGUGUCAGAAGUUGGACUGCUUACUCUCACAUUUUUUUUUUGCUGUGUAAUGUGCAUUAAAAUAAUUUAUAUUCAUAGAGAUGGUCCAAUAAAUUGCAUAUGGCUAGUUAAUAAGCUGCUAAAGCAGAGAAGAAAAUUAGAUUUCAUUUAGAAGAAAACAAUAUUUGGCUUUCCCCAUGGAAAUAUGUGAAAAAGCUUUAGAAAAUUCUGUUAACAUUGAGGUCUCAGAAGAGACUGUGAUUAAAAAUAAUAAAAAGAAAA